rnacentral:rRNA from 1 species
UCGGGAAUUUUUGGGCAAUGGGCGAAAGCCUGACCCAGCGACGCCGCGUGAGGGAUGAAGGCCUUCGGGUCGUAAACCUCUGUCGGAAGGGGCGAAAUGUUCUCGGGCGAAUAGGCCGAGGGCUUGACGGUACCUUCAAAGGAAGCGCCGGCUAACUCCGUGCCAGCAGCCGCGGUAAUACGGAGGGCGCAAGCGUUGUUCGGAAUUACUGGGCGUAAAGCGCGUGUAGGUGGCCUGGAAAGUCGGGUGUGAAAUCCCGGAGCUCAACUCCGGAACUGCAUCCGAUACUGCCAGGCUCGAGUCUCGGAGAGGACGGCGGAAUUUCCGGUGUAGAGGUGAAAUUCGUAGAUAUCGGAAGGAACACCAGUGGCGAAGGCGGCCGUCUGGACGAUGACUGACACUGAGACGCGAAAGCGUGGGGAGCAAACAGGAUUAGAUACCCUGGUAGUCCACGCCAUAAACGUUGGGUGCUAGACGUCGGGGUAUUGACCCCUCGGUGUCGAAGCUAACGCAUUAAGCACCCG